rnacentral:rRNA from 1 species
GACGAACGCUGGCGGCGUGCCUAAUACAUGCAAGUUGAGCGCUGAAGGUUGGUACUUGUACCGACUGGAUGAGCAGCGAACGGGUGAGUAACGCGUGGGGAACCUGCCUUUGAGCGGGGGACAACAUUUGGAAACGAAUGCUAAUACCGCAUAAAAACUUUAAACACAAGUUUUAAGUUUGAAAGAUGCAAUUGCAUCACUCAAAGAUGAUCCCGCGUUGUAUUAGCUAGUUGGUGAGGUAAAGGCUCACCAAGGCGAUGAUACAUAGCCGACCUGAGAGGGUGAUCGGCCACCUUGGGACUGAGACACGGCCCAAACUCCUACGGGAGGCAGCAGUAGGGAAUCUUCGGCAAUGGACGAAAGUCUGACCGAGCAACGCCGCGUGAGUGAAGAAGGUUUUCGGAUCGUAAAACUCUGUUGGUAGAGAAGAACGUUGGUGAGAGUGGAAAGCUCAUCAAGUGACGGUAACUACCCAGAAAGGGACGGCUAACUACGUG